AAAUUUGGAACGAGCCCACGCACCUUGUGAGAGCUGGCCUUUUUCUUCUCACCUCUCACAGCUCUCUCUCGAAAUAUCUGGCCCACUCACCUAAACUCUCUCUCUCCUCUCUCUCUCAGCUCUCUCUUGAACUCCGUGGAGAAGCCCCCUGCCCAUCACUGGGAGUGUCCCGAGAUGGAGCAAGCUCGAACCAGGAAGGUGGAGCAAGCAGCGUGAGGCAGGCCCAGGGAGUGUCCCGAGAUGGAGGAAGCUCGAACCAGGAAGGUGGAGCAAGCAGCGCGAGGCAGGCCCAGGGAGUGUCCCGAGAUGGAGCAAGCUCGAACCAGGAAGGUGGAGCAAGCAGCGCGAGGCAGGCCGCUACGGCCAUGGGGGCUCAAGCCUGGCGGCGGCCUGGCGAGCGCUGAUGGCGGCCUGGACGAGCUGCGGGGGCCUGGCGAGCGAAGACGGCCAGGCCAGCGUCGUGGGCUGAGGCUCGAGGCCAGCUCGAGCAGGAGGCGGACGUGAAGCUCUUUCUGGACACGCCGGAGCAAGACUUGUGGGUCGACCAGAGCUCCAGGGGCGCCGACCACCGCGUGCCGGCGCCGUCGACAUGUUUUUUUUAUUUUUUAAAUCGAUUUGUAAGGGUGCAAUAAGUUACUAAUAUAUAUAAUAUUAUAUUAGUGUGAUGCCAUCUUAA